rnacentral:rRNA from 1 species
CGGUGUUCAACUGGCGUGUCCGCGGGACGUCCUGCCGGUGGGCUUAGCCCGCAAGGGCGGCCCAACUUCAAAUCCCAUCGCGGUGCUCUUCACUGAGUGUCGAGGUGGGCCGGCACGUUUACUUUGAACAAAUUAGAGUGCUUAAAGCAGGCUAAAACUUCGCCUGAAUACUGUGUGCAUGGAAUAAUGGAAUAGGACCUCGGUUCUAUUUUGUUGGUUUUCGGAACCCCGAGGUAAUGAUUAAUAGGAACGGAUGGGGGCAUUCGUAUUGCGACGUUAGAGGUGAAAUUCUUGGAUCGUCGCAAGACGGACAGAAGCGAAAGCAUUUGCCAAAAACGCUUUCAUUGAUCAAGAACGAAAGUUAGAGGUUCGAAGGCGAUCAGAUACCGCCCUAGUUCUAACCAUAAACGAUGCCAGCUAGCGAUCCGUCGACGUUCCUCCGAUGACUCGACGGGCAGCUUCCGGGAAACCAAAGCUUUUGGGUUCCGGGGGGAGUAUGGUUGCAAAGCUGAAACUUAAAGGAAUUGACGGAAGGGCACCACCAGGAGUGGAGCCUGCGGCUUAAUUUGACUCAACACGGGAAACCUCACCAGGCCCGGACACCGGAAGGAUUGACAGAUUGAGAGCUCUUUCUUGAUUCGGUGGGUGGUGGUGCAUGGCCGUUCUUAGUUGGUGGAGCGAUUUGUCUGGUUAAUUCCGAUAACGAACGAGACUCUAGCCUGCUAACUAGGCGUAUUUUCGACAUCUCAAAGGUCCGUCGUCCCGGCCCUCGGGUCGUGGGCGUGCGCGAUUUUUACUGUCGGCGUACUAUCAAUUCUUCUUAGAGGGACAGGUGGCUUCUAGCCGCACGAGAUUGAGCAAUAACAGGUCUGUGAUG